AAGGACUUUUGCACAAUUAGCUUAUUUCAGAAAUAAAUGCCAAUUGGAUUAAUCUGCAAAAUCUUGGCAGUGUAUUGAUACCAAUCACCUUUUGUCACUAUUACCUCUGUUUCCUUAAAUACAGGGGGCCAGAGAAAAAGAUUGCUUCUUACAGGAAUCAGUAUAUAUUUGCACUAAAGAAAGCACAGGGCAAUGAGUCUUUCUUCCCUCUUUUCCUCUUGAACCUUGUACAAUGUUAAAUUUCAACUUAUUUUUUCGAUAUAAAGUCUCUAAUUAUUCUAGAUCUAUGUUUGGACGUAAGAUUUCUUUGUUUGGGGGCUUAAAACUACCCAUCAAAAUUUAAUCUAUUGGUAUUAUUAUUUGCAAAUUUCUAGUAGUCAUUUUUAUGGUCUACAACUAUGGGUGUUACUGUUCCCUAUCCAUCUUAUAAUUUCAACUAAAUCAAGCAAUGAAAAUUUUAUAGUGCAUCCCUAAUUGUGCACCAGACUGGAACUGUUCAUACAAAUUCUAAGCAAUUAUAAGGCUUUCUGGGAAACAUUGGCAGCAAACUCUGGAUUAAAUGUUUAUAACAGCAAGCCAGAUGGGAAACAGAGAUAAGAAAAAUCUCAUGGAAACUUAUUUUUUUUUUCCCAGACCACAUUAUUUUAAAUUAACCUGGCCAAGGGGAAGCACUUUCACAUUGUUGACCAGUAAAGAGUUUUUGGUUGUUUAGAGGAUGCAGAACACAUGAAUGUAAAUAUGGGAAAAACAGACACUGUGGACUACUAGAGAAUGGAAGGAGAGAAGGUAGGUUAAAAAACUACCUAUUGGAUACUAUGUUCACUACCAGGGUGACAAGAUCCAUACUGCAAACCUCAGCAUCACACAAUAUUUCCAUGUAACAAAUAUGUACAUAUACCCUCUAAAAUAUUUUUUUUCCAUUUGAUAAGUGGAGUAAAAAUUAUUCCAAGCAAUCAAGUAAUUUGCCCAUGGUCAUGUAGUAUAUGGGAAAGCAAGGAUAGCAAACAAAUUGUGUCUAUUGACAAGAACCGUUCUUUCCCCAUCAUCUCCCACAGUCUUUAUCCUUCCAAUGCAUAGUGACUGCCUCUCUAGGUUGAUGAGAUAUACAUUCUACUUUAUUAUAUGCUCAUUAUUAUCCAUUAAAUGCCUUCUAUAUGCAAAACCUUUAGUUAAGUGCCAGAAAUCCCAGAGAAAUGGAAAAUCAUAAAAUAAAAUGGAACAAUAUUAUAAGGUUGUACA
rnacentral:lncRNA from 13 species